rnacentral:rRNA from 1 species
UACGGAGGGGGCCAGCGUUAUUCGGAAUUAUUGGGCGUAAAGGGCGCGUAGGCGGCCAUGCGUGUCUUCCGUGAAAUCCCUCGGCUUAACUGAGGACGUGCGGAAGAAACUGCAAGGCUUGAGUCCGGGAGAGGGGGGUGGAAUUCCCAGUGUAGCGGUGAAAUGCGUAGAUAUUGGGAGGAACACCGGUGGCGAAGGCGGCCCCCUGGACCGGUACUGACGCUGAGGCGCGAAAGCGUGGGUAGCAAACGGG